CGGCCCAACGGGGAGAUCAUUUUUCCUCCCGGCCAGCCACGGGCUGAUUUCCCGGUGGGGCCGUUGGCCCAGCGCGGCUGAGGUGCCUCAGGGCUGCCGGUCGCCGGCGCUUCAGAGAAGUGGGUGAAGUCACGGCCUGGUGCUUUGGGUUAAGAAAAACAAGAAAACCCAGUAGUAAGGCAGUACUAAAUGAUGGCAAACCAGAGUUACUUACUCCAAACUGAAGGACUGAUUGCUUUCACACACGAAGUGUCCACUUUUUUCCAGAAGGAGGAAAAAAAUGCUUCUGCUAGCACCGAGGAUGGAAGGAAUAAGGAAAGUACAAGCUUGGGAAAAGGCUUCACACAUUUACUAAUAUGACAGCUGUUUGUGACACACCGUAGACAUGCAAGGUCCUACUGGAAGGAACCUGUCUUUGUAAGUGCCUACAGACAUCCAGGAUGCAGUCUAUGAAACUAAACAAAGGUGGAAAGGUCUGCUUUUGACUAGUAGUGGUGUGGGCAAAUGUGGCAUGAGAAAAUAAUUGUAGCUCUGUAACCAGAAGUUCUCUGUCUCCCAAGACUUACCCCCAAGUAACCAACGCUGCACAAGGAUGUUCCACAAGCAUUUGAAAUUCUGAGCAUUACUGCCACUAAUUUUAUGUGUUAGCAGACCAGAGCAAGUCUUUUCCCUCCGGCUGGUUUUGCUUCAGGCUUGUAGAUACUGCUUAUAUACAGCAGUAUAUGAAGAUGAUCAGUUGGUUUUGAAAGUAUACCUCUUGCUCGUAACAACUGUGGAGCAACUUAGACCAGGAUUCAAACUGACAGUGGGACGAAGACACCACCGAGAACAGAAGGAGCUUGGAGGGGAUUUCAGCUUCGGUAAUUCAGUUGGUACCUAAAGACCGAUGUGAUAAACCUCAGCUUAACUGUUCUAGUAAGAGUACAGAGACACAAGAAUAACUAAGAAAUACACGUAGGAAGUUGCAAAAUUCUCAAGAAGCGUUUGCACAUCUGCAUCUUUCCCGUUACAACUGAGGGGAGAAGAAUCCCAUGCUUGAUGUCGUCUGUGCAUUCAAUGCUUAGGCUCUCAUUGGAAUGAUUAAGAUGAUGCUAACUUAUAUUGGGGGGGUGUUCACCUGUUUUUGACAGCUAACAAGUUACUAAAACUAGCAAAUGACUCUGCCUGAAAGAUUAGUCCGAAGUUUACAGUUCAGAUGAACAAAAAUAACAAGCUGGAUUUCCCUUCCCUGCCAUCCCGUUCGUGUUGAUUAGUACCGGCAGCAUAUUUCAUAUGAUGCAUAGUAAUGCUCUUAUUUGGUUCCUCCAGUUUAUAAAUAAAAUAC